UACGUAGGGUGCAAGCGUUGUCCGGAAUUAUUGGGCGUAAAGAGCUCGUAGGCGGUUUGUCGCGUCUGCUGUGAAAACUCGGGGCUUAACCCCGGGCGCGCAGUGGAUACGGGCAGGCUGGAGGCAGGCAGGGGAGAAUGGAAUUCCCGGUGUAGCGGUGAAAUGCGCAGAUAUCGGGAGGAACACCGGUGGCGAAGGCGGUUCGCUGGGCCUGUUCUGGACGCUGAGGAGCGAAAGCGUGGGGAGCGAACAGG
rnacentral:rRNA from 1 species